GGUAGGACCGAAGCCAAAGUCCGCCUCUGUCAGGCAAGGCUGGGAGGAGCCAGCGCGUAAAAAGCCUUUCCUUUAAAGAUACAGCCCGCGGACAAUUGCUAACUCAGCUGGAGAGGCACAUUCCCAAGAAUCCAUUACGAUUUCCCCCAGGAAAGAAAGAAAAACCCGGUCAGCUUUGUGCAAGUGGUGCUCACAUCGGACUGAACUAGGAAGGUGGAAAGAAGGAUGCGCGCCCACCCGCGCGCCCCGGGAAAUCGCUGAAUGGAGAAUUCGGUCCUGCAACUCGUUUAGGAUUUCCGCUCGUGAUUUAGGGCGGCCUCUUUACGCAAAGGACCCUCCUGCUCCAGCCCAGCGUGCGCCCUCCCACAUCGAAAGGGCUCUUCUCCUUGCCAAAGCAAAAGAGGAGCGAGGGCAUCAGGCGGCGGUAUUGAGGCGGCUGCUCUCGGAAUUGCCCGGCUGCCAUGGGGGCUCUGGCGGUGAUCUGGGGCUUCCUGCACCCUCUGCUCGUGGCCCUCUUCGCUGUCUUUGUGUUUUAUUGCUGCUACAUCAGAUCAGUCCACAUGAAAUACGACCACAUCCCCGGGCCCCCUAGGGCGAGCUUCUUCUUCGGUCACCUGCCACUCGUUUGGGGAAUGAUUAGAAAGCAGGAAGUUUAUUUCGAUCUCUUUAAGCAGUGGGCUGAGGAAUAUGGACCAGUCCUGCGUUUAAAUGCCUUUCACAAAGUUGCAUUAUUAGUAUCAGCCCCUGAAGGAGUAAAGGUGUACUUGACAUCACCAGAAUACCCAAAGGACCCCAUGGUAUACCGUGGUCUUCAUGAUAUGUAUGGCGUAAGAUUUCUAGGGCAGGGCUUGUCAGCUGUUCUUGACUACAACCAUUGGCACAACCAGAGGAGAAUCAUGGACCCGGCCUUCAAGAGAACUUACUUGAUGGAGUUGAUGGGAACUUUUAAUGACGUAACAGAAGAGCUAAUGGAGGUGUUGGAGAAAAAAGGUGAUGGAGCAAAUGGAGUGGAUGUGAUGAGCCUGCUGAGACGUGUGACGUUGGACAUCAUUGCAAAGGUGGCUUUUGGGCUAGAAUUGAAGACCCUGCAUGAUGAGCAGGCUGCUUUUCCUCGCGCUAUACUUAUGGUCACAAAAGGACUGAGCACUUCACGCAUUCCUUUGUUUGAGAUCAGGAAGGGAACUAUGAUGAAGAAAAUUUGCUGGACAAUUUUGUCAACUUCUUCUUUGCAGGUCAUGAAACCACUGCUAAUCUGUUAUCAUUCACCAUAAUGGAGUUGGGGCGGAACCCUGAGAUUGUUUCAAAGCUUCAGGAGGAAGUAGACAAGGUUAUUGGUAUGAACUGAGACAUUGUCUAUGAAGAUCUUGGGAAUCUCAAAUACUUAUCACAGCGCACUGACUUGUCGGCGUCCUAACACACAGUGGAUCUGGCCACCAGGUAGUUAUGCAGGCAAUUGAGAAAAACAUGUUCCAUAGUAGUCGGCUGGUAAUCCAUGCUAAUUUUUGAAUUUUUAUUAUUUUAUGUUUUGUAAACCACUGAUUUCCAAACAAAACAAAACAAAAUGGCAGUCAACAAGUAUCUAUAUACAGUAUAUAAAAAUGUAAAAAUUGUGAAAUUCCGUUUGACACUUUUCUCCGUAACUGCUUGACCGAUCGUCCUGAAAUUUUGACACAAUGAUCCAGGCCACUCCUAGAGCGUUGUUGGGGGCAAAAAUCCCUCAAAUCGCACACCUGCCCAGGUGCAGACCUGCUUUUCCACCAAGUCAAACAGCGCCCUCAAGUGGCGUAGUACCCUCCUCCACCCCCUCCCUUCUUGUGAAAUCUAAGCCACACCCACAAACCAAAUGACAUCAUCAUCAACCAAGCAACUGAAAUACACCAAGGCAGCCAUUUUAUCUAGGCCUUUGUUUUAGGCCCCUGGCAGGCUGCCAGGCCUCCACUAGGCCCAGGGAGGGGGAUAACCCACAGCAACACACUUGGGGGCAUGGCAAGGGGUUUUACUUUACCAUUUAGCACCACUACCCCCCCAAAAAACCCCACCAAAGAACCAACAUUGCCAAGUGGAGGUCGGGGCCUGCCUGGGGGGGGGGUUGCCACAGACCGCAGCACGGCCUUUGAUUUAUGUAGGCCCCUACACUGCAAGGGGUUUUUACUUUACAAUUUAGCACCACUACCCCCAAAAAAUCCACAAGACAAAAAUAAAUAUAACUUAUUUUAUGGUUAUGUCUUAUUUUAGGAGAAACAACUGAUUGUAAGCCUCUGUGUCUUUUUUAUAUAUAAAAAAAACAACCAUUCACUUUCUCUCCCCAGUUUAAGUCCUCAGAUAUUUGCAGUGCACACACCCCACCCCAUUUACAAUUCCCUACCUUCCCCUUGCCACUUCCUGGGUUUUUUUAUGGAACUGAACAACUCGGGUACUUCAGAACGCACCUUCUGUUGCCAGGCCCUUGCAGGGCCAGACAGAGGCCCGGCCCAGGUAGAUAAGAUAAUGUGGCCCUGUUUUUAACCCUUUUGUUACUUUUUUCAUUUUACUGAUUGUGAAUAUGCAGACCGAGACCCCCUUUAGAUUUGGAGGCCCGCGCCAAGUGGCCCAUAUGACCCCCCCUCCAUCUGUCUGGGCCUGUCUGUUGCUACGGGGCUAUGGGGCUUCGCUAUUUGACACCCCCCCUCGGGAUUUUUUAAAUAGUUCUCUGCCUCCCAGGGCACAUCAUCACCCCGAUCCUUAAUCUAAAUAUAUAGAAAUGCUCACGAUGCGUGCGCAGGGGCCAAUGUAUGGAGAUACGGGGGGAGGGGACAACAGAGGGCUCAGACAAAAGUAAAUACUGGGAAAUGGAACCCAUAAACUGACAGCUCCUUCUCCAAGGCUGGGGGCCAAUGUAGGAAGAUACCGGGGGUAGGGGCCAACACUCCCCAGGGACAACAGAGGGCUCAGACAGAAGUGCAUGCUGGGAAAUAAAACCCAGAACCUAACAGUUCCUUCUCCAAGGGUGGGGGCCAAGGUAUGGAGAUACAUGGGGGAGGGGCCAACACUCCCCAGGGACAACAGAGGAAAGGGUAUCCUACCGAAACACAGGGAUGAGCCGGGGUGGAGGGAGGAGGAGCAGGAUACGUCAUGGA